rnacentral:tRNA from 1 species
AAAGGGAGACCUAAUUCAGGUAUGGGACGAAAAAAAGUAGUCGCUACCAAGAAUCAAUCCCAAAAGGUCGGAGCGAGGCAUGAGGCUUUCAAACUAGGUUCUGGGUUCAUAAAAGACCUGAAUCAGGAACAAGGGCUAUUAGCUCAGGUGGUUAGAGCGCACCCCUGAUAAGGGUGAGGUCCCUGGUUCGAGUCCAGGAUGGCCCACCUGCACAGGUGGCAAAAAAAAAAGAAGCGAGGAAUCAGCACCUUAUCCUAAUUUAUAUAUAGGAGAGAAUGCUGGCUCUGAGUAAAGAGUCCAGAGGAACCUUGAAAACUGCAUAGAGCUAGGUGAAAAAGCCAAAAAAGAAGACCGCAAG